rnacentral:rRNA from 1 species
UACCAGCACCCCGAGUGGUCGGGACGUUUAUUGGGCCUAAAGCAUCCGUAGCCGGUUCUACAAGUCUUCCGUUAAAUCCACCUGCUUAACAGAUGGGCUGCGGAAGAUACUAUAGAGCUAGGAGGCGGGAGAGGCAAGCGGUACUCGAAUGGGUAGGGGUAAAAUCCGUUGAUCCAUUGAAGACCACCAGUGGCGAAGGCGGCUUGCCAGAACGCGCUCGGACGGUGAGGGAUGAAAGCUGGGGGAGCAAACCGG